AGGAAGUGAUUGGGGAAGGAAGCCAGUAAAUCCAUCACACCUGUGAGCUGAAAGGAGGGAAAACUAACGAAGGAGGUUUGAAGGAGGAAUGAAAUGCUUAUGAGAUGCUCUGGAGAAAUAAGAUGAUCCAUGGAGCAGAUCUGAAACUGGUGCUACUACUAUGACCUGUUUGGAUUCAGUGGCUGAGCUCUCUAGAUGGAUGACACACACAUUUCUCUGAAACUCUACUGACCUCUGACCUUCAAGUGACAAUUAUCUAACCAGGGUUUCAAUGUUUGGCUCAACACGUUACCAGAAAGCUGGUGACUAAUGCAGAACUCAGCAACACUAUCUCCUAACAUUUAUAAUCUCCAUCACUGAAUGUCCAGGCGGCCAUUUGUUGUGCGUUAGCAGCGUCUGCAAGGGUUCAAAGGUGUGGACGGCAACGAAGGAGACAACCUGUAAAAAUCAUGACGGCAGAGAAGGACGAUGUUUAUCUCCCCGUGGCUGAUGGGAGUUUGUUGCCGAGGCAGAGAGUAUGAUGGGUACAGGAAGUGAAUAGUUUGGCCUGAGGUUCACAGCAUGUGUGUGUGUGUGUGUGUGGUGAUGAUGCAUGUGUGUGCUGUGACUGAUAAAACGCCUCAGGCCUCCGUGUCUCGGUGGCUAAGUAAAGAACAACACACAUUCUUGCAGAGCUCUUGGUGAGGACACCGUGCAUUUCAGUUCAGUUCACUAUGGUGCGGUUUGGAACGGUUCACCCUGAUCAGAGGUGUGUGGCCCCGGGUACUUACGUUUGUGUCCUCCUAUGUAAAUAGUGGAAUGUCAAACAUAGUGCAGCCCAAUAAAUUAUAUAAAUAAAUAAAUAAAGAAGGAGGUGAUGUGGUAAACAAAGAGUAUUGAUGUUGGACAUCCAGCAUUCUGUGUUGUUUCUUAAGCUGUUUAUUAUUGAUUUAUUUUACAAGGACGGUGCAUAUUAAUAAAACAUUUAUGUAAACAUGCCAGAGUUAGCCAAAAGGCACAUUUUCGUCUGUAGUCCCUGGCCAGAUGUUGUAAAACCCUGAAACCCUAAAACAAGUGAAACAAGGAAUAAUUGACCGAGGAAGAGAAAAGGACAAGAAUGCAGACAACACAUUGAAAUAGAAUAUCUAAAAAAAACACAUAGAUUCACAGCAAGUCUAAAACAUACAUACAACAUUAAAAGUUUGAUGAGCACUAGUAGAAUCGCAACACAGGGGGCAACAGACAUCACAUGAGGUCACCAGAAUACUGUCUUUCCCUCGUGUCGCACAUAAGUGAUGAUUCUCUGUCGUCAAAGUAAGGGACUGCACUGUGUCUCGCUCCAGACUGAGCUUGGUAACCAAACGCAGGGUACAGAGCAGUUACUGUAUAUUUGUAGCCUUUUCAACAUUUGACAGUGGAAACGCAUGCAAUUGCGUACCGUGCUGUGCAGAACUGAACUGGAUCGCUUAGUGGAAACAGGGCUAUAGAUAAAACCAUCACAACUAAAUGAGGAAACCCCAUACAACCUUAAAACCAGGUCUUAACUAAAUGGGUGUGAUAGAAUGUGAGGGCCAGCCAAAAUUCCCAAAAUGUCGUCACAUCCUAUAACGCCUAACGAUACACACAC